rnacentral:tRNA from 1 species
GGGGACUUAGCUCAGGGGUAGAGCGCUUGCCUAGCAAGCGCAAGGCCCUGGGUUCAGUCCCCA